GGGAGGGUGGAUGGUGUGAAGAGAAUACCUGUGUGUACCAUCACAUCCCAGGGAUGUAGGUCAGAGGGACCAGUGAGGGCUCCACCAAAAACCUACAAAAGCACGCGAGAAAGAAACAAUCUAGGUUUAAAUGUGCCAUGGCCUAGAGAUUGUGAAGGCUUUCACAGUGGAAAGGAUUAAGUUUGCCUUCAGAUCAACACUGCAGCAGUGUAAAAUAGAAGUUUAUUCCUCUUAGAUAGAAGUGACCGAGUAAUUCAUGGAGAGUCUUUUCAGACAGGUUCUAUAUGCUUCACUGCACCCAUAGCCCGUGUGUGUGAGUCUCAGAGGAAGCUGCUCAAGUCCCAGACUUCCCAGAAAAGGAAGAAGAGGGGAAGCGUAUGCCUCCUCCCUUCAAGGAGGCCUUCGGGCUAUCCCGCCCAACCCCUUUCUUAUACCCCAUUCAUCAGAGUUCAGUCACCUGGUCACAUUUAGCCAACAGACUGGAGGAGGUGCAACCUCAACCCCAGUAGUGGUGGGCCCAGCCGAUCAUCGUGAUCUUGUCUAAAGUGCCAGAGGCAUUCCAUGACCUCUGUCCCUCCAUUUUUAUGACACCUAUCAGGAGCUCUUGCUCCACACCAGGAAGGACCAGUGCAGCAGCUGUGGCCCAGAGAAGGAAGUAGGCGAAAAGGAAGACACCACAGCCUGCCUGCAUAGACCAGGCAGGGUGAGGAUCCAGCAGAAGCUCCUCCUGCCUUGGUCUUCUUUGACAGUCAGUCGGUCUACACGUUCCACUCUCUUCUUUCUGUAUUCUGUGACGCUGCAACCUUGGGGACUUUCUCGUACCUCCCAGAGGCUGGAGAACGUGCUGCCUUUGAAACCGUUCCUUGCUUCUCAAGAGGAACCCGCUGCCAGCAGUGAAGCCUCUAGUGGUUUUUAUUCUACUCUAAGCACAUGCAGUAAACCAUGCAGGAAGUUCUGUAUGCACACUGGAAUUGGAGGAAAAGUCACAAUUACUACUAACUCAAUGUAAGAAUUUCUACUGAGACUAUCCUGCAGUAACCUUUUCUGUAAAGGAUUAUGUGUUAAUACAUUAGACACUGUGGCCAAUCACAGAUAAUAUGUAAUGAUUGAACCUAGCUGCAUUCUAAUAUUUUUAAAGGCAAAUGGGCUCCAGCUUCUGAAUCCUGGUAGGGAAAUUUCAUUUCUUCAUGUUUAGAUGGGUCAAAAUUAUUUUAAUCAAGAGAAAUGAAACAUUGUUGUUGCAUGCUCUUUAGCCAAUUUAAAUUGGACUAUUUCUAUAAAUCUCAAACAUUAUUAUUUUGUCUUAAAAAUGUUCGCUUGUGGGGAGAGGGAAAAUGUCUGCAGUCCAAUGUCAUCCUUUCCUGAACAUGGAGUGGAAAAUAUUUAUUAAAAGUGGGGAAAGGUUGGGGAUUUAGCUCAGUGGUAGAGCGCUUGCCUAGGAAGCGCAAGGCCCUGGGUUCGGUCCCCAGCUCCGGAAAAAAAAAAGAACCAAAAAAAAAAAAAAGUGGAGAAAGAAAAUUAUACAAAUGAAAUUAGUUCAAUAAUUUUGUUAUACUGCAUUUUAUUAAUCAUUAUUGUUUAUUUACUUAACCUAAUUUCUGUACUACAUAUUUAUUUGGUUUUGAAUUGCUUCUAAGUAUCAGGCUUCUUUUUGUUGUUCAUAUCAUAUGCGUGCAUGCACUCGCACACACACACACACAUCACAUGCACACCCACAGCACACGAACAUAUACACACUCACGCCACAUGCACACACACUACAUGCACACAUACAUACAAUCACACACACACCACAUGCAUAUGUAUACACACAUCACACACAGCACACUCACAUGCACACACAUCACACACACAUGAUCAAACACACCACACUGCACACACAUGCUACACACACACACAUACCACAUGCACAUACUUAUAGACCCAUACACACACUCAUACACAUACUAUACACACAUGCACUCAUUCACACACACUCCACACACAUACACACUUACACAUAUACACUAUACACACAUAAUAUACUAACACACUAUACACACACACACACAAUGCACAUGCACCACACACACAUACACACACUUACACACACAUACACAUAAUACACACACUCACACAUACCACACAUGCAUGCGUACACACACAUAAUACACCAUACGCCACAUACACAUAUACAUACUUACAGAUAUACAUGCAUGUUUUUAUCCUUGUAAUGAUGAACAGUCUUAUGGUUUUUCUGUGACUGAAUAUUUUUCAUGUGAAAUUGUUAGUUAGGACUUUCCUUUACAUCUUCAGGAUUUUUUUUUUUUGUUCUUUCAGGUAUUUUCAUACUUUUUGGACACAUUUUUGCCACAGUCAGUGUCACCUGAGGACAUGUAUCAAAGGCUCAGUGUUGGAAACCUGCCUUUAGACUGGUGAUAUUGGUUUGAGAGAAAACUUUUUGAUAUAGAAAUGUUGAUGCUGAAUUGGAAGGGACAUUGGAGACCGAAGUUCAGUGUCAGCAGGAGACAUAGCCCAAUCCUGUUACCUGUAAUCUGAGAGGAACUCUACCUCCCUUUCAAGCCUUUUGGACUGGUUCCUGCCUUUGAGUUCUUGCUCCAACUUCCCUCAGUGAUGGAGUGCAAUGUGGAAAGGCACUGUGCUGUGUCUUCCUGGGAAAAGAAGAGUUUACAGGACAAGCGGGGUUGCCCAAGGCUGGAUUAUUCUUGCCGCCUUCUUGGUUUUAUGUUCUUUUCACAUCUAAUUAGGAAACAAGUGAGUAAAUAAAAACUCAUUUUAAACCCAUCUGAAAUGUAAGCAAAUUGCUUUCAUUGAACUGAACUUAAAGGCAGACUCAAUUAAUCAACUUUAAAUUAUGGGUAAAAAAAUCAAUAUAAAACUUCUAUCUUUGUUUGCAUUCAAGAGUUACUCUGAACUGGUACUUCGCAUGUGCAGACAGUUAACUGCAACAUUUUCGAAAUUAUUUUUACAACUCACAUGUGUCAGAAAGUUUGUUUCUAUAGCUAUUGUUUUUCUUUUGAAAUUAAUAUGCUAAGGGAUUAUAUUUAAUGAUCUGUGGAAAUAUUGACUUUAUGCAAAAGACAUAGGCAAAACUAACUUGAAUAUAUUAAUUUGUAUGUGUUGCCCAUCUCAUUAGACCAGAAUGUGUUUCCCUUGGAUUACAUGACACUUUUUGACUCUGCGUUACAUUAUCUUUUUGAAUUUAGCCUGUUAGAUUUCAGACAUUGUAUUCAGUAGACUUUUGUCAGUCCUUUUAUUUAGGGUUAAAGCAUUUUUUGUAGUUACUGAUUUUGCAAUGAGAAUGAUAGUUUCCAUACAUGUUGACC
ensembl:lncRNA